rnacentral:rRNA from 1 species
GUACUCACGGGUAAUCAACCUUUCUGGCGCGAUUAUGUGGGCGUGUUGGAGCCUAAUCAGCCCUCACGUUUUUAUAUUCGUUCCUUUUGGGUGUACUUGCCCGUGCGGUAGGUUAACAUCAAUUUCAGACGUCAUAAAAUGACGGGAGGAAUGUAGCUUUGGUCUCGUACUGAAGUGUUAUAGACUCUGGUAGAUGUGACGUUUGGGAUUGAGGAUUGCAACGGAUACCUCUCGGGGCUACCUGCCUGGCCUCUGAUGAUUGCUAUGGUGCCGAAAGCUUGCUUACGGUCAUCAAAGUUGAUUGUCAAAAGGUUAGAACGGGUUAAA